rnacentral:sRNA from 2 species
CCAAAGUGAGGCUGGCAAAGUUGCUCUCUUCGGGCCAAUCAGCGUGGGCGGAUCGAAUCUCGGUGUGUGUGGAUGCGUGUGUUGUUGUCUCGUUUUCAACGUCAACCUCCAUCCUCAACUCAUUUUCGACUCUUCUUCUCUUCUUCGAUUGACAUUCCUCACCUCAUUGAUGCUGCUUAGUUUCUUCCUCGCGCCGUCGCUGCUCGUUUCGUGCUCACUCGUGUUUCCCUCUCCUUCAUCGUUUGCCGCCAAGUUUGCCCUGACCCUCACUCCUCCCACCCCUUGGCCUGUUGUCUUCCCACCUUGAUAUUUAUAUUUCAUUUGUCCACCGUUGCGUUUAAAAGUUUGUGCUGGGCGUCGACCUCGUUUGAGAAGAUUGUGCUGGUUGCUAUCAGUCAUUCGCGCGCCCUCUGCACGUCGAACUCGUCCAGAUCCGUCAUUCCCCUUUUCAUCUCUCCCGUCCUUGCUUAUCAACACCGUAACCAGCGACCGAUCCCCAGCAAUGGAUGUUGCUCUGGACCCCAGCGUGAACGUCGAGAAUCCAGUUGCCCCAGCUCUUCCCCACAAUUCAUCUUUGAUGGAACACUCCCAACCCCG